rnacentral:lncRNA from 1 species
GAAGAGGGAUCCUUUUCAAUUAAGUGUUGUUUAGUUGUUUUUAGAUGAAAGAUAAAAACUAGAGUUAACAAAGAACAACACAAGAGAUUUAUACUGGUUCACCCAAACAAGGGCUAGUCCAGUCCCGGCCAACUGCCGAAAUUCACUCGCUUAAAGGUUAUGGCAAAACCUUAGAGUAUCAAGGAAACUCUUAAGAACCUCUCUAAGCUUUAAGGCUACUUCGUUUAGGAACCAGUCUUUUACGGGUAGACUCAUACCUUAGAGUAUCAAGGGCACUCUUAAGAACCUCUAACUUUUGUGGGUAAGUUAGUACCUUAGAGUAUCAAGGAACUCUUAAAAACCUCUCUAAGCUUUAAGGCUACUUCGCUUAAGAACCAGUCUUUUACGGGUAGACUCACACCUUAGAGUAUCAAGGGCACUCUUAAGAACCUCUAACUUUUACGGGUAAGUUAGUACCUUAGAGUAUCAAGGAACUCUUAAAAACCUAGAAAUCUUUCAAGGUAGAUUCGACCUAAGAGUUUUUCCGGAAACUCUAUAAAACCAAACUAGAGCUUUAUGGUUGAGCUCGAAAACCUUCUCUCACACUUUGGUACUAUUGAGACAACCCUCUCAACCAAAGUGGACACACACAAGAGGAAAUUAGAGGAGUGGAAUAUUAAAGUAAACAACACUUCUUACUUGUAAAGAUGAACAAGAAGAUUAGAAGAAGAAGUUGGAGAGCUUUUGAAGCUUUGGAAAGCUAGGACACUUGAGCAUUUGAAAGCUUGGAAGCUUGGAAGCUUGGAGGCAAAAACGUGUGGGCAAGUGUGGAGUGAAAGCUCUUGAGUUUGCU